GUCCACACGGUAAACGAUGAAUACUCGCUGUUGGCGAUACAAUGUCAGCGGCCAAGCGAAAGCAUUAAGUAUUCCACCUGGGGAGUACGCCGGCAACGGUGAAACUCAAAGGAAUUGACGGGGGCCCGCACAAGCGGAGGAACAUGUGGUUUAAUUCGAUGAUACGCGAGGAACCUUACCCGGGCUUGAACUGCAACCGAAUGUCGCGGAAACGUGACAGCUAGCAAUAGCGGUUGUGGAGGUGCUGCAUGGUUGUCGU
rnacentral:rRNA from 1 species